rnacentral:tRNA from 2 species
GGGCCCGUAGCUCAGCCUGGUAGAGCACCUGCCUUGCAAGUAGGGGGCCUCGGGUUCGAAUCCCGACGGGUCCA